UUGGGGGCGCUGCUUUUUGGCGCCCUCAAAUCUUGCCACCCUAGACAACCGCCUAGUCUGAUUAAAUGGUUGUACUGGCCCUGCCGAGGAGCGGCCUGUCCUCUGAAGCUGGGAGAGGGCCACGCUACCAGCUCCCGCCUGGGGGGUGGAGGGUGGCCUCUGCCCGCGGGAGAGCGGCUGAGACACACUCCCCACUUAGCUGGCUCCCUGCCCCGCCGCACUCAGCGGCAGAACAACAGGCUGGUUACCACCCCCCCUGGGCGGUCAGGGUCCAGCCCAGGACGCUGCUUGAGAAUUCAACUAUCACUUCGCUAUCAUAUCUUCUUCAGCGUGGACCUUUGAACCAGCUCUUUGAGCAAGUGAAAACAAAAAACUACUUGCAGAGCCUAGUGAGAGAAGGAUGGCAGCUGCUGGCUGGAUUUCAUUGCUUUGGACCCCAAGUUGUGCUGCAGGACUAGACUAGUAUUGGAACUGAAGGUCAGAAUCAAGAUCUCAUUAUUAUUGCUUGUGGGAAAACAGCUGCACCAGCAAGUUGCCAGCUAAAUGUCAGAUUUACAAAGACGUUCACCACUGUGCCAGCAAAAGCUUGACUUUAUGUCCAUAAAAGUGUGAGCAUAGCAGUUGGCUGCCUAUGCAGAUGUGCCUUCCUGGGUGCCAAUUUUGUGGGACAGAAAGAUGCCCAGACAGAAAUGAUUUGUGCACAUGGGCAACAAGCUAACAUGAAGGGAACAGACAGACUCGUGAAUGGAAUUUCCUUGGAAUUCCUUUUGCAAAACCACACGUUGAAGCCCUGAGACUUCUCACCACAACCAGCUGAACCAUGGGAUGGUCUGAGAGACUCAACUUCCUAGCCACUAUUGUAAAAUCUGUAUACAGUCAUUCACUCUUAUCUUAGGCCUGCUCUGUUUAUCAUGCACUUGUAUGAGACUCAGGCCAUCCAUCCAAAGCUGCUGUACAAAAUAUCCAUUACAACAUGGCACACAUCGAUGUUGUAUACUUUAGUCCUCUGACCGCUUAAACCCCUUUGGGCAGUUAGUCUGAGCUCAAGUCUGCAGUGGACAUUUUACAGACUCUGAUAAUUACUGGUUCUGUCAUCGCUCAGGAAGCAACCCCUUCUCACAGCCUGUGGCCAUGCACAAACUCAGGCUUCUCUCUCUUCCCCAUGAUUUCAUAGAAUUUUCCAACGAGCCAGAUGUCACUCUGUAAUGUACAGAGUUACAUGGAGUGAAUUCCGAUCCUCUCCGUUUCUCUCCCAGCUUUCUUGUCUACUGUUUCUUAAUCUUGAUCUGCUAUGGAAUGUAAGGCACUUUGUCGGAGUUUUGACAUUCCUAGAGUGUGACCCACCUCUGGGCUUUUUCAAACAAGCUGGUACUCAGCCCACAAAGAAAUACCAGAAAUGUAAAUAAUUACCCUGAGAUCUGCUCUAAUUCAUCACCAAGACAGAAGAUCUCUCUACUUGUAAUCCUAUGAAAGACAGGGAGGAGCAUUUCUCAUAGCUUUUCUGCAGCCUCCAGUCAAAGCUCUUGAUCUACUGUAUUGGGGGCAGUGUGGCUGCCAGUGGUUCCCUCUGAGUUGUUCUCUGCUUUAGGGGGCAUCAAGUCUGCAAUGAAAUUAUUCCUUCAGACAGAUGCAGGUUUACACCCCCAUUCUGCUCUCUUCCCCCAACAGUAGUAACGACCCUUAGAUUGAGAACUGCUACGUUAGUAUAAAGUGACAUAGUGUAGUAUAUAGAGAAAUGUUCGUCAUGAAAAUAAAUGAAUUAAGAGAAUGUUCUGUCUGUAGACUCCCCCUUCCACAAAUGACCUAGGAGCAGUUGUCAAUGGCUACAGUUUUUUAAAUAUUCUGAUAAAAAAACGGUGUAAUCAUAAUGCUAGAAUUCAGCCUUAACCCUGUGUUUCCUCAUUUUCUAACGUGCAAGAUUUCUUUUCCUUUUUUUCUUAUAGGGAUCACCUGGAGCAACCCAAAAGGUAGUAGGAUGGUUUUUCCAAUAUUUGUUUUUAAUAUUAUGUCAUUAAAGUGGGGGUUCCCUGGCUAGUAGAGGGUUCCAGAGUCCCACCCCUUGCCUUGGAGUGGAGAACCCUCCACUACCCUUUGGGGAGGCAGGAAUUUACCCACAAAUCACGUUAAUGCCAUUAUCAGGACAAACACUCAGUUUUAUCAACUUGAUCAACCACAGAUGGAUUCUGAAUCCAAAACUCCCUAGUCCCAGUCUCUCUACAGUGUGAGCUCGGAGUGCAGAAUAUGGAUUUUUGCUGUAUUCGAGGUCCACUGCUGUGGACCUGAUGCUGGCCCAGACUUCUCUGCUGGGUCUUGGCUGCCCACUGGGUCUUGGCUGCCGGUGAGUGCAGAGCACUCACUAAUUUUUCCCUGUGGGUGCUCCAGCCCCAGAGCACCAACGGAGUCGAUGCCUGUGGUUCUGCCCUGAUUUACACCUCUUUUGAAAGGAUCGCAGUAGACAUGGUCAGAACCCUAGAAAAAACUGCAGCAGGGCAUCAGUACAUACUAGUGAUUGUAGACUAUGCAACCAGGUAUCCAGACACUGUGCCUCUCCGCUUCCCAAAAGCAACAGCUAUAGCUCCAGAGCUCUUGAAGCUCUUCUCACUCGGAAGGUUUCCCUGUGAAAUAUUAACAGCCCACAGGACUAACUUCACUUCCCAACUGAUACAGGAAUUAUGCUCCCUUCUGAAGGUCAAGUCUCUGAAAAUGUCAGUGUACCACCUGCAGACUGAUGGUCUAGUAGAGUGGUUUAAUAAGACCCUGAAUGGAGUGUUGGAAGUGACAAACCCAGGCAGUGGGACCAGCUACUUCCACUGAUACUGGAGAGAUUCCCUGGACUCCAUUUUGUGUCACUAGCUUCCAUUUUGAAUAGGUAAAAGUCAGUCCACUAUUAGAAGCUGCAGGUCACAUAACACUUCAUUGCUAACAGUAGGCCAGAAAGUUUAAAGUUCAGCUGAAAAAGAAAAAAAAAAUAAAACACUCUAUAGAAUUGUCACAAAGCCAAAUAGGUGCAGCAUAACUCUGUGGCAUACAACUAGUGAUAAGCUUGUACAGUAAAGCUCUGAUAGCUGAGAGCACAGUAUAAAAGGCCAAUGGGUUAGAACAGCUGAGAGAGAAGUGAGGAGUUAGGAGAGCUGCUGCUGGAGCAGAACAGAUGGCACGAUCAAGCAGAGAAUUGACCUGAAGGAGCAGAACAGAACAAUCUGGAAAACCAGCAACAGCAGCAGUAGUGGCUAAAGUCAGUGGAUAGACUAAGCCCGUUAGUUUUAAUUAUAGUAUAAAAUUUAAGUAUGGCAUAGUAUAGCAUAGUGUAUAGUAUUAUGAGUGUUAAUAAAAAUGCAUAAAAUUCUGUUGUUAAUCACAAAUUAUCUAUGUAAAAUUUGAAGUACAUUUAAGAACUGCUGUCAGUGAUCUGCAAUGGACUGACCGUUACAGAGUGCAUCCACUCAGUAUCAUUAAACUGUAUGUUAUUGCGGUUUAAUUGCUCUUUAGCUUGCAAUAAGGGAUUUGUGCCUGAUUUUUAUUUGUAGAUUAUAC